rnacentral:rRNA from 1 species
GAUGAACGCUAGCUACAGGCUUAACACAUGCAAGUCGAGGGGAAACGAUGAGAGAGCUUGCUCUCUUAGUCGUCGACCGGCGCACGGGUGAGUAACGCGUAUCCAACCUGCCUCUGACCAAGGGAUAACCCGUCGAAAGUCGGACUAAUACCUUAUGCAGUCGUCGGAAGUCAUCUGAUGACGACGAAAGAUUUCAUCGGUGAGAGAUGGGGAUGCGUCUGAUUAGCUUGUUGGCGGGGUAGCGGCCCACCAAGGCGACGAUCAGUAGGGGUUCUGAGAGGAAGGUCCCCCACAUUGGAACUGAGACACGGUCCAAACUCCUACGGGAGGCAGCAGUGAGGAAUAUUGGUCAAUGGGCGUAAGCCUGAACCAGCCAAGUAGCGUGCAGGAUGACGGCCCUAUGGGUUGUAAACUGCUUUUAUGCGGGGAUAAAGUGAGGGACGUGUCCUUCAUUGCAGGUACCGCAUGAAUAAGGACCGGCUAAUUCCGUG